UGCCACUUGAAUUAUUAAUAAGUGGUUCAUCCUGCCCAGUGAUUAUUUUUAACGGCCGCGGUAUCCUGACCGUGCAAAGGUAGCAUAAUCAUUUACCUACUAAUUGUAGGCUAAUAUGAAAGGACAAACGCGAACUUAGCUAUCUCCUUUAAAUGUGAAAAAAUUUAUAUUUAAGUGAAGCCUAAAUACACUCACAGGACAAGAAGACCCUAUAGAGCUUUACCAUAAACCUUAAUACUUAAGCUAACUGGUUCGGUUGGGGCGACCAAGGAACAUAAAACAUCCUUAAUAAAUAAGAUUUUCUAAUCACAAAAAUAGAUCCUUAAUUAAGACCGUAAGAUCAGGCUACCUUAGGGCAACAAACUAACCCCCASAGAAUUAUAACAAGGGGGCGCCUCGAUGUCGACUAAGAAUUUCUUUGUACCACAGCCACAAUUAGAUGACUUGUUCAACCAUUAAAUUCCU
rnacentral:rRNA from 1 species